CCUACGGGAGGCAGCAGUGAGGAAUAUUGGUCAAUGGGCGUAAGCCUGAACCAGCCAAGUCGCGUGAGGGAUGAAGGUUCUAUGGAUCGUAAACCUCUUUUAUAAGGGAAUAACGUGCGGGUCGUGUCCCGUUUUGUAUGUACCUUAUGAAUAAGGCUCGGCUAACUCCGUGCCAGCCGCCGCGGUAAUACGGAGGAUCCGAGCGUUAUCCGGAUUUAUUGGGUUUAAAGGGUGCGUAGGCGGCCUUUUAAGUCAGCGGUGAAAGGAUGUGGCUCAACCAUAGAAUUGCCGUUGAAACUGGGAGGCUUGAGUAUGUUAGAGGCAGGCGGAAUGCGUGGUGUAGCGGUGAAAUGCGUAGAUAUCACGCAGAACCCCGAUGGCGAAGGCAGCCUGCCAAGCCAUGACUGACGCUGAUGCACGAAAGCGUGGGGAUCAAACAGGAUUAGAUACCCUAGUAGUC
rnacentral:rRNA from 1 species